GAUGAACGCUGGCGGCGUGCCUAAUACAUGCAAGUCGAGCGAACGGACGAGAAGCUUGCUUCUCUGAUGUUAGCGGCGGACGGGUGAGUAACACGUGGAUAACCUACCUAUAAGACUGGGAUAACUUCGGGAAACCGGAGCUAAUACCGGAUAAUAUUUUGAACCGCAUGGUUCAAAAGUGAAAGACGGUCUUGCUGUCACUUAUAGAUGGAUCCGCGCUGCAUUAGCUAGUUGGUAAGGUAACGGCUUACCAAGGCAACGAUGCAUAGCCGACCUGAGAGGGUGAUCGGCCCCACUGGAACUGAGACACGGUCCAGACUCCUACGGGAGGCAGCAGUAGGGAAUCUUCCGCAAUGGGCGGAAGCCUGACGGAGCAACGCCGCGUGAGUGAUGAAGGUCUUCGGAUCGUAAAACUCUGUUAUUAGGGAAGAACAUAUGUGUAAGUAACUGUGCACAUCUUGACGGUACCUAAUCAGAAAGCCACGGCUAACUACGUG
rnacentral:rRNA from 1 species